GAUAAAGGCUCCUAUAGUUAAGUUAUAGUGUUAUAUUUUUGCAUUCAAAUCAACAACGGGCUCAUAACAACUACUGGAGAGGGAAACUUUGUUGUGGGAUGGUGACAGAUAUUGGUUAUGCUCCCAUCUUAUUGUGUAUUAUAAUCUUUCUCACAAUCCUCUUUGUCAACUGUGUUGUUGCAGGUAUUUUAAAAAUUGUAUGCCAGUUUGCUAUCCUUUUCUGUGAUGAACCUUGACUGAAUAUUUUCACUAAUUCCAGCUCCUAACCUUAAAAAGAUUAUUGCCAUUGUUGGACUUUGGUCGUGGACAACACUUUCUCUGGUAUUUGGUGCCCUUAUUGUUCUAUAGGUGUAGUAGUAAAGAUCCAGGUUAUAUAAAACGGCCAGGAGACUUGGGUACUCAAAGUGAUACCGAGAUAUGUCAUUAGGAGGUUGUGACCCUCCCCUUCCACCGUCGCCUAGCGAGAAUAAGGGGAAGUAGGUAAUGAAGGGGAAGAAGCAAUAUGAGAUUAAAGUAUUAUCACAUAGACAACUUAACAUCAUCUAUCCCAUCCCCAGUUGUAGCAUCCACGCAAUCCCCAUCCCCAGUUGUGGCAUCCAGACCAUCUCCAUCCCUAGUUAUUGGUUCUAUGUCAUCCUCAUCCAUAGCUAUUCGUUCUACACCAUCUCCAUCCCCAGAUGCUAUAGGAACACCUAAUGUUAAUCCACCACCUGAUAAUGAAGACUUAAAUGAGGAGGACCCGCCACUUGAUGAUCAUCCUUUAAUUAAACCUACUCAUAAUGGGUUUCUCCCAUCAAAGACUGCAUCAAGUGCUAUCACACAGACCAUGCAUUAAGCAGCAAUAUCAUUCACCCUGGGUCACAUGGGGAGAAAUUCCCCAGGCUGAUAAAGAUAUUUUCUUUCAACAUUUUAAGAGGAUGGUGAAAUGAAGUCCUGAGCAUGAAAGUAAUAUCAAAAAAAUUUCAAUGCAAAAGCUUCUCAUAGACUUUCUGAGAUGUUUAUGGAUGCCCGGAAGAAAAAUGAGAAACCAGAUUGGAUUGGAGAUCGUGUGUGGAAAUCUUUAUUAGAAUAUUGGAAUGAACCUACAUGUCGUACAAAGUGUACACAAGCAUACAAAAAUAGAGCAUCUGAAAAGGGUGGAAGUAUGCACACAUGUGGCUCCAUUAGUAUGAAUGGACAUGCCAUUCGCAUGGAAAAGGAGCUUGGUUGACCUGUACACCAUGAUGAACUCUUUCAGCAAACUCAUAUACGAAAAGACACUGGUUAGUUUGUUGAUUAUAAAUCUAGGCGGACACAUGAAGAUUUUGAAGCUAGAUUUUCUCAAGUUAUAUUUGAGGUUGGAUCCACUAUUGGCACCUCAGAACGCACCCCUUUAGACCCUAUUGAGGAGGAUAGACUUAGGAGUCAAUGUUGGAAUGCAGCUAUUGGUGAAAAAUACAAGGGACGUCGUUAUGGUACAGGAGAUCUUUAUGAGAUUGAGGAUAGCAGCUUUGUGGGGACAUCUUUAAGUCAGUCUUA